rnacentral:lncRNA from 1 species
CGCGGCCCGGAGUCCCCAUUUUCCAAGUAGGUUCUGAUUUCCCGAGAGAUGGCAAAGGCCCUGGCAGGAAGUUUACACGGCCCAACGUAAACACGUUCUGGGGGAUUCUUUAAUAAUAAUAAUAGAGAAUUCCGCGUGCGCGGGGGGGAGUUGGCCUAAUGCCCCUGUGGGCUCGGCCUGCCGCCGCCGCGGGGCCUCCGACUGCGCACCCGGCCAGGUUCCGGAGAGCGGGCAGGGAGCGCGGGCCGAGGCUGCCCUCGCGCCCCUGGCUGCCGGCCUAAGGGCUCGCUCGCACGCACGCCUCCGCUCGUCACCCUCGCCUUGCCGGCGUGCGGACAGGGCCUGCGGCGGUGGGAAAUCUGGGAAAUCGGAGCGCAGCGCAGGACCGCGCGGGAGGCCGGCGGGACGCAGCGCGCACAGACCCCGGUGAGUGGCUGCGGCGCUGACGGUCGCGCGCCGGGCUUGGCCUCUCUGCCAGGGUCUCGGGUGGAGAGGAGGGCGGGGGUGUCUCCAGUCUCCACAGGUCGUCGCGAGGAGCCGCACGGCCGUGCCCCGGAGCCAGCUGGGGCGAGAGGCGUGUGCCGGGCUCUGAGCGGGACCUGCGGCUUCUUCAAAGCCCCGGACCGCAAGGGUUUCUCCCGACUCCGCGCUCCCCGCUGGCCUCCCUCUCCCUCUCCCGGCCCUUCGCCGCCCGCAGGGGACGCCUGGUCGCCUCGGGGCGCCAGGCCCGUCCCUGCCAGGAGCUGGGGGCUUAGCCUGCCCCGCUGUCGCCGCCUCUCCACGAAGAGCAGAGCUCCUGGGAGAGCAGAGCCUCCUUCCGCCCUGUGCUUUCGGCCAGGCCCCGCCGGCGGACACCUCGGGCGCGGAGGGAAGGUCCAGGGUAGGCCCUGGGCGCGGCGGUCUCGGGUAUUCUCGGACCCGGCCGCCGCACACAGCCGCCUCCGCGCCCUCCGCCCCUGCCUUUCCCGGAGCGCUGUGGCACCGCUCGGACCCCAGCCUGGGGCAUCACGCACCCUCGCUGGACGCCCUCGCGCACUCGCAUUCUCUUCCCGCUGUGUCCCCUCGCCCCCAGGGAGGGACGUCAGGGACGGAAUAGCUGAGUUUCCCCGAAAUGGAGUAACUUCCUUUCCUGUUCCUGCUCCUCCACUCGUGGGGACCCCCAGAGUGAGGGGAAUCUACUGAAGGCGAAAUUGGGGAGCCCUUUUCUAGCAGCCGCCUUCCCCUGUAGGCUCUGUCCGGUUUAGGGGUCUUGGGGUCCCAUCUUUGGCUCACCCAGAAUUCAGUUUUCCUGCCCCCCUUUGUCCUUCACAGGCUUCCCUGGGGGGGGAGGGGAGCUUCUUAGGUUUGGGGGCAGAGAGCUGUGCCUGUGGGUGGAAGUAUGGUGUGGGGGCCACGUUACUCACUCACUCAGGCCCCAGCAGCGAAGCAGACUCUGCCUGGACCCCAGGGCCUUGAGGUGUGGAGCUAGAGUCCCAGGGAUGCCCAGGGCCGGCGCUCGCCAAAUCCUGCUCUCUCCUGGGGUGGCAGAGGAGGUGGGAGCCUGAGAGGGGAGGGGGGAACCACAGCCACAGCCACGCAAGGAGACUUUUCUGUGAGGAGCCAAGUUCUUGGUUCUCCAGAUGCCAGAGAGGUUUCCCUUAACCAGACACUUUUGAGGUGAGGACACUGAGCCCCAGAGGGGACUUGGGCCUGGCCAGCCCAGCUCAGCUGGCGGGGUUGGGCUGCCAGUGACCUUCCCUCCAAGCCCUCCUCUCUCCAAGCACGGAGGGUGGUGGCCUCUCUUCCCCCUGCCUCCUUGUGGUCAGAGAGAGUGGGCUUUUGGAAGGCUUCAUCGGCGCACAGCCUGGCUUUCCAGCUCCAGGGGAAAGAGACUCAUGGGAAAACCGUGGUAUUAAGAUGGUUACCACAGGGCCAGGGGUGUAGCUGAGCGGCUCAGCGCCUGCCUGGCAAGCUCGAGGCCCUCAGAUCGAUUCCCGGUAUAAUAUAAAAUAAAAUAGUUAGACAACCACAGCCGCAGGACAGGAAGCAGGCUGCUCGGUGGCUCACUAUGUGGUACUGGGCGCAUCACUCCUUAGACGGGUCCCAAAGGGGCUUGAACCCCUUUGAUGAUGUGGGGAGUUUGAUAACUUGGGUGAUUACUGUCCUGCCUGCACCCACUCCCAAGGUGCAUAACCGUGACACCUCUGCGGGGGUUUUCUUUGAGGUCUUGCGGGAAGCAUGGAACUCAUUCGUAAACCUACACCCCACCCACAAGCACAGAAUUGUAACUGUCCCUCCACAGUUGUUUGAUCUCGCGGGAACUCCUCCAAGUCAGCACCCCCUCCCUUAGUGAUGGGGCUCAGGGGGGUUGCUCGAUCCUCCACGACCCUGCAGGGCCAGGACCCAAACUGGACCCCCCCACACACCAGGAUAAGGGCAGGGAGACCCUGCACAUCAGAUUCACAGGGUGGAUGGAGAUCCAGCCCCCCAACCCCGCGGGAUGCCACCUAAGCUGACUCUUUCUCUGAAAGUGGAACCCGUAAUGCUGCCCACUCUUAGGCUCAGGGGAGGGUGCAGCAGGGCAGGGAGCUGGGGGACCCUUUCAAAUGGGAGCGAGGCCUCAGGGGCUCAGCCUGCGAGAAAACACUGCCUUUAGCUUAAAAUCUGCAGACACCUCUCCCAUCCUAAGUCAAAGCUGUGUGCGCCCCCAUGCAGGCAGAGGAACCCCCAGAACUGGGGUGGGUGGGUAAGAGACAUGCCCGCGUCGCGUCCACUCCCCAGGCCCGAGGUAUUUUCACUGGCUAAUUGCUUAAGUGAAGCCGCCGGGCGCGAGCGCCGUAACCCGAGCUCCGAACCAGAUCCGGCUCUCGGUGUGCGCCGGCCGCCGACCACCCACCGCGAGGGCAGCCGCCCUGCCUGACGCCCCUGCUCCGCAUUAGCCCGCUUCGCCCCCCACCCCUGCUCCUCGCAGCCCCGCAAGCUUCGUCCCUUGGUAGGUAGGGUGGCCGGGCUGCACCAACGGGGUGCGGGGCAGUGGGGAAGUGGAGUCCUGGGGCUCUGGUAGGGACGGCAGCUUCGGUGCGGCCUGGGUCUAGGGGUGUGUGUUGGGCUUGGUACCCAGAACUGCAGGGGGAAGGUCAGGGUCGGGGGGAGGAGGGUGGCCUGCUUGGAUCACAGCUGACCUGCGUGCAGAGUCUGCAGGGGCUUGGACCUGCAGACUGGUGCCAAAACAGAACCCGGCUGCAGGGCAUCCCCCGGAAGCUGGGCGCAGAGAGGCUUCUGAGGACAGCAGAGAGCCAGCACAGGGGCUCCCUGUGUGUCGCCAUUUUAAGAUGUUCUGUUUAACGGUCUAACAGGCACUCGCAGAAACACCCCAGAAUACUAUGGCGCGCUGGGCACCGAGCAGUGUAAAUGAGCAUGCAAGGGGACAGUGCCGUGUGCAGUCAGGAUGGUCCAGGCAGCCCGCUGCUCAGGUUGGCGUAGUCUGAGUGUGCCACACAGCGUGUUCCGAGCUCCGCAGGCCCCGUUGUCACACGCAGAGGAUCAGAGGACAUGUGGAGACGUGUGCCAGUGCAGGGUGCCUCGUUAGGCCAAGGGGUCACAGGGGUGACACAGCAGCAUCAGCCGCAGCCGCAGGCAGAGGGAUCUGCAGGGCGAUGCGCGUCCCCCAGGUGUCAGGCACGCUUUCAGGGCGUGUGACACGGGGUGGACAUGGUGCAAGCGUGACAGCGGACCGGACUGUGGCCAAGGACACCUGCCAGCCCUUGCUAGGCAGGGUAGGGCCUCCCCACUCACAGAACUCCCACCCUGAUCCCGAAGGCAGGGUCUGCUUUGAUCUCGGGUUCCAAAACACAAUGACACACCUACUUUAUUUCUAUGGUGACAGAUGGGCCCCUGAGAGAUGGGGUCCUGCACGGUACAGAGAUGUGGGGACCCUGUUCGCCCCGUGUGAGCCCUGACAGGGGAUUCCCCUCUCCGUAGCUGCAGAAAGGAGGUGCACGAUAAGGGAGGUGUGCAGAGGGGGCCCGCAGUAUCGGCGCGGCAGGGAAAGCCCUCCUUUGGGAUGACCUGCAGUGUCCCUUGCUGCCUCUUUAAGCUCAAAGCAAGGCAGUCAGAGCAAGCCGGACUCCAAGCCCCAGACUGGGAGAAGGGCGGGGGAGGAGGAAAGCAGCCACCUGGGUCGCACCUAGUCCUGCAGCACCCCCAGGGCAAGGUGGGGCUCAGUAACCCCUGGCAGUGUGGGCGGCAGCGGUGACCAGGGCCGCCCCUGGACGCAGGCCCUGGUGUUCAUCUCCCAUCAGCUCCACCUUGGGAAGAGGCUCGGGGUUUAGUCACCGCUCCCCCCCGCCCCCAUGCUUGGCCGUCGCUGCAGCCGGCGCUUGCCCCUUCCACUUGGCCCUUUUACCCGAAAGCACACAUUUUCCAUGACGUUCUUCAAUGAAAUAUUUGACAACAGUGCAGCCCAGGAAUUUACAGCUCUUCCCUGCAAGAUGGCUGGGAGUUUUCUGGCAUUUGCAGUACACGAAGCUCCAAGAACCAGCCCACCGGAGGGACACCCGGCCUCCAGCCCCCUGGGUCUGGUGCAGCCCCUUCCCGUGGAUACAGCCCCCAGAACCCCCGCAUAUGUUUGUCUCUGCUGAGCGGUGUUCGAAUGGGAGACGACUUCCUUGCAGUGCAUGCUUGCCCGUGUGUGUGUGUUUGGGGGUGCUCAAGGGGCCCCUGAGCCAGUUUCUGAGCUGAUGAUCUGUGCUGAAGUAGAGCGAGCACAGAAAGGUGCUCAGAGAGGGACAGGAGGGCUGUGGCCCCGGGACAGGCCCCCAACCUGGGGAUGAAGAGAAGGGUCCCAGACUACCAGCCAAAAGGAAAACAUAAAUUCAAUGCCAAGGGGCCGUUGCUUAGUAUUUUUCAGAUAUGAGGGGCCCCAAGAGGGAGGGACUCACAUGACAAGGGAACAGGGUGGGGGAACACUGCCGCCCAGAUGGGGCUCUGAGCCCAAGCAGCCGUGUGUGCCCAGGACCCUGUCCAAGUGCCCACCUGAGUGCCAGCUCACAGGCUGCAGAUGAGAAGAACGGGUGUUCAGGGGGACACCAACUGCACACACCUGACUGCCCGGGUGGAGGGGCUUCCCUGCUCCGUGCAGCCUGCCCAGGCUGCUGGCAACAGGACUCCCUCUCCCCAUGCCCUCGCCAGUCUAGCCCGGGCCUUUUGUCCCAGCCAGGUUGUAGCUCUGUGGCUCUAGGGACCUGGGCGAGUUGUGCCUGGGCAGGCCUGGCCCUGUGCACACCCGGAGGAAGCCCCUCUGGAGUUCAGCCCACCCUUGGGCUAGGGUGAUAGGGUCCCAGGGGAGGAAGCGGGGUAGCCAAGCCUGGGAGGGGAGUCAGGCAGGUGCACCAGAAAGCAGACAGUGCUGGAGGGAGAGCCCACACCCGAGAUGAGAUGGGGAAUUUCAGGCAGCAGGCUGAGCGCCCCAGUGGAGUACGGCCCGUGUCCACAGGACAGGGUGGCAGGGCACGGCAGGGCCAGGCCCUGGGGACAAGGAGGCCCAUUAGAGCGGGCCCACCCCAGACCGAUGUAGCACCUGUCUCUCCUUAGCUCUGGCCUCAGGCAAGCGCUUCAGCCUCUAGCGCCUCAGUUUCCUCUUUGUGCACCAGGGGAACAGAGCCAACCUGGAACCAGAGGAGAGACACAGGGCUUGCGCUGCAGUUGUGAAGGGGCUGGCGGCCUUGUGGAUGAUGGCAUCGUAAAUUGAAAUCCAGACCAGGGGGGAAUUGUUAAACAAACACCUGCAAGUGAUGAGGAGCUUGGGCCCUGUCUGGUUCCACUCAGCUCCACGGCUGUGCGGCCCUGGACGGUGGUCUUACCUCUCUGAGCCUCCUGUUCCUCAACUGUAAAAGAAGGGCGAGGGUGGUACCUCUCUUGGGGUAGAUGACCCCACAGUUGCCCACUGUGGUUGUUAUUUAGAGUUUUGGGGGGCUGGAGGGUAAGAUGCGUACCUCCCUGAAUGUCUGGGAGCCCUGCUUGAGAACCGGUGGCCUGAAGACCAGCUGCCCUGACUCGGCCGGCCGAGGGCUCCGAGUGGCCAGGGGCCUCCCUGGGUCUGCCGAGAGUUCAGGGUGACACAGCAAGGACGUUCAGAGCUCUCUGGGGAGUGCCUCUGCCAGCUCCGUCCUGCCACCCUGCCUUCUGUUCUCCCUGGUCCCGGGGCAGCAGGGCGGCAUCUGCAGUGGGCUGCCCGCACGCAUGUUCGCCUGCUGUGUGCAUUCUGGCCGGCCUCUCUCGGAGCCCCUUUUCUCCUCUGUGAGAUGGACAGAAUUAUAGGGCCUCCACCCCCGGCUGCUGUGCAGACCAAAGGUGGCCAGCAUCCCCCUCGGAGAGCCCGGCACCUGCUGUGUGUGGCACCAUGUGGAGAACGUGCUGUCAUUCUUGGAUUUGAUGCUGAAUCCGCCUCACAGGCAGGAGAGCAAGGCACAGCUAGCCGGCCGGGUGUGGUGGGAGGACUCAUUUUAAGGGUGCAGACAGGAGGUGCCCCCAAUUCUGCUUAGGUGGCAGGGCAAGCUUAACAGCUCUUUGCACACCCUCCCGACCCCAGUUUCCACUGCACUUAAUAACAGAAUAACAGCCUCCAGCCAGGUCCGAGGGAGCAAGUGGGAGGCAGGAUCAGAAGCCUCCAGGAGCCCCCCGACUCCGCCCGCUUCCCGGCACUGCUCCCCACGGCCCAGUUUCUGAGAAAUGCCUGGGAGGCUGAGGGUGGAUGCCUGGAGCCUCCCACCCGACAGCUGCACCCUGGGUGGGGACAAAGCCCCUCCUCUGGUGCCCCUUCCCCAGGUCCCCAGAAGAGUCUGGCCCUGGCUCCUUUCCUGCCAGACCAGAGCAGACGGCCCUGAGCAAAGGGCGCCGGGCAGCCUCAGCUUAGGUCCCGGAGGGCAGCAGGGACCUCCCAGCCACCGCAGAAGCAGGCCCUGGGCGGUCCUCGGAGGGGCUCCUGACCGACAGGCACACUGCACCCUGGGGCCCCGAAAGCAGCCCUCACCCAGGGCAAGGAGCUCCUUGUAAUUUAGGAGGCCAAGGCAGGAGAAUCAAAGCUCCAGCCAGCCUGGCUAACUUGGCAGGAGCCUGCCUCGAAGUAAAAAUCAAAAGGGUGGGGAUGUAGCUCAGGGGCUGAGCGCACGGGUUCAAUCCCCAGGAAGGCACAAAGUAAGAAACUGCUACUAAUAAAACACGCCCGUCCCUUUCUGUGAUUAUUGUUUUUGUUUCUUGGUGUUCGUUCUCUCUCUUACAGCCCUCGGCUCUCGGCUCUCUAACUUCGUAGAAUUUAAAAAUCAAAUGAAGGCAAAAACAAGACAGCCAUUUAAACCUUCCGGUCCUUUUCUUAUGAAAUAUAUUUUCUCAGUGCUUGAACACACCACUUCUUUAGGCAAUCGGAUUGCUCUCAGAGUCUGGGCAGAUUUGCGUCUGAAGUGGGCUCGCUGGUCUACUCCUGUACCCCAGCACCCCCUUAACCCUCACAGCGGGCAUUUUUUUCUUUCCAGUGAGCCAUUAAUUACCUGCAAAAGCUCCGUGCCCAGCACUCGGAGAGGAUCGAGGCCGGCCGCUUUAGAAAGCACACACCUGGAAUUAUGUCCAAUUUUGUGUUGUGUCCCUAGGUCAGAGGCCCCUUCCUGGCGUUCUCCAUGCUGGUGGAGAAAGACUUCGCCCCUUCUGGUUGCACGCCAGCGUCCCCUCGGCCGGGUCACUGUUUCCCCCACCAAAUUGGGCUGAGACCCAUUUAAUUCGCCGUGAAAACUAACUUAAUUAGGAGCCGAGUGCGCUCUUGGGUGGGAGGCAGCAGGCUCUUCGCCCAUCUCCCUCGCUGCCCUCCGCUCUCCGCAUUUGCAAAGCCGCCCUUCCCCGCGAGGAGCCGGGCUGCCUGCCUCUCACUUUUCCUCAGGUUGCCGGUCUCAGGUGGAAUCUCAGGGGCUGGCUUUCGGCGGAGGCGGUGCCCUGAGCCCGUGGGAAGCAGAACCCGCUUCUUUCCGAGCCCCAGGCUCCUGGUGCCCCAAGUGCCUCUGGCCAGACUCCGCCUGCCGGUGACGGCCUGGACAGCUCCGGGUCCUACAGCCCGGGUGGCGACCGCUGCGCUGGUGUCGAGAUGCCACAGUCCUUUAACCCUGGUUCAGGCUAAUGACGGGUCCUGCCUGCGUGAAUGCCGUGUUUAUUUUACCUCCACCAGCUCAGGGGAGGGGGUGCACCCGGGCGCCCGGCAAGGGACGUGGAGCCACAGAAGCAGAGCCCGCUCUGCAGGCGAAGGGUCUGCGCAUCGCCUUCUCCCUCACCGGGCCGCCGCGGCGGAGAUCAAUGCGACUCAGCCUCGUGUCCUGGGGAGCCCAGAGCUGCAGCCCCGGAGCGUGCAGGACUCGGGGCGCCCAAGGCCCGCAGCCCUGGGAGGCGCCUUCUGGAAGUCAACUCCAUGCACUCUCCAGCCGCUCGCUUGGCUGUGGGGCACCCAGGGUGGAUUUCCAGGGGCAGGAAGCUGUGCAGAGUUCAUUGGUGGAAAGGAUGAAUUAAGAGAAAACCACUCAGAGGAACAGAAAGGCAUCCUAGGCAUUUGAGGCCAGGAGCAGAGCUGAGAGGGCUGUCUCCCUCUUUCAUUGUAUGGGCUGCCCCGACAAAGCACCGUACAUGGCCUGGGCGGCUUAUUCCCGACAGACGUGGAUUUCCUGUUCCAAGGCUGGGCGUCCAAGCUGGGGUGCACCCGGCGGCCUGUGCUCGCUCCCCACUGCCAUCUCCUCACAUGGUGCGCUUGCCCUGUGACCAGUUGGGGGCAUGGGCCUCUGGCCCCCUGCAGUCAUCCUUUCGGUGUCCAGCACAGCAACAACCACAGACAUGGCAGGAAGGCCUGUAGCCAGGAGAGGGGACCCCAGCGCACCCCAGGAGCUGCCCCGGAGCAGCCCGCUCCCCAUGACUGCGGCCACAGAGACCGUGAGAAGCAGCGAGAGACACUGCUGAGGCCACUGCAUUCUAGCGUGGUUUGUUAGGCAGCCAGAAGCAACCAGAAGAAACCGGGUUUAUGUUUUAAAAAUAAACAUUUUAUUGAAACAUCACAGGGAAGGGACAGGGAAGCCCCCCGCCAGGGCAGCAGGCCCAUCAGGACGCAGCGUGUGCCCCUGGACGGCCCCCGGGGUGACCCCGCAGCCCACAGAGUGGCCUGGCAGGCGCAGAGGGAGACACAGCUCCCGGGCCAGUGUAGGUCUGCUCGCCCCUCCCUGUGGUGCACUAGGUCCCGUGGUGGCUGCCCUGAGCCUGGGCUCCCUGGUCCUCCUGGCCCGGUUGUGCUCCACGACGCAGUGGACACAGCUGUUGUCCCUUCUGCUGCAGUCACUGAGACCACCUGUGUGGGGUGUUUCUGCCGGGGGCUCAGGCCCUCGCCUGUGCACACCCCAGUCAGGGCUCGGUGCCCUCACUGCUGCCUCUCUCCCAGGGCCCUCGACGCUGCCACUACUGCCUGCUGGUGGCCUGGGCAGCUGGGCCAGCUGCCAAGUGACGCUGGCUCCUUUGGUUCCGAGUCAUGGACUUUAGAAGGUAGUACCCUGAGCCACAUGGGCGCCCCGCACCUGGCGCCCCACCUGGGAAAGCCCACCUGGUGUCCCCCACGGGUCUCUCAUGACCACAUGCAUCGGCGGGGCCUGGGGAGGCCCGGCCCGGGAGCGCUUUGUGCAGGGAGGAGUCCUAGGCCCCGGGCGACGGUGCCGGGUGGGAGACACUCAGAGCAGGGGGUAGACCCUCAACGCAGGACGCCGGGGUCAGGGCUGCUGCCCCAGGGGGUGCACGUGUACAUGGUCCUCGGCUUCUCGUGCCCACUCGAGGAGGCAGUUGGCCACACCUUCCAACUGCCAGCUUCCAAGACAGAGAAGACAGCGUCUGCUGUUUUAAGCCACCAGUCCAGGGGCUAAAUCCAGAUUUCUGUGCCUCAUCUUCCACAUAGGAAUAUAUGCAUGCUUUUGCUAAAUAAAGACAUAGCAUUAUAAGUCUGUAGGUAAUGAGUCAAAUUCAUUGACUUGUGUUAGAAAGAUAGGAUUUUCUUCGUGCAUUUUCUGUGCUGAUGCAGAUAGAAAACCAAGACCACAAAGGGCCCCUCUUGUUUUAAUUGUUUCAUUCCUUUAAACAACAAACACUGGCUGAAACAAACAGAAAAGUAUUUUUUUCAUGAACCAAACAGAAAGGGAUCAGUGCACUUAACUGAUCACCCGUUCCCACCAGCGUAGAGACAGACGCGGGCCUGAGACAGAGAUGUGGGGUGCGGCAUCUGGGUUUUGGGGUUUUCUCUUCUGAGGGAUGAGACAGGAGCCUUCCGAGAAAUGCACCCGGCGAGCCGCCCCAGGCCGCUGUGUCAGCCCUGCCGACUGCCUGAGGUAUGAGCUGAUCUCCGGCAGCUCUGCUUCGCCUGGGCCUCAGCUGCAGGCAGGAACCUCCACCCUCCAGGGUCAGAGUCCUCUCCUUGAGAGCAGCUCAGUCUGUUUUCUGUUGAUAGAACAAAAUAACCAAGGUGGGGUACUUUAUAAUUUGUUUAGCUCACAGUCUUGGAGGCUGGGAGUUCGAAACCAGCUGGCCCCUUCUGUUUGGCCUCUGGCCCCCUUCCCCUGCCGCCCCCACCCUGCAACAGUGUGUCACCAUGCAGCUGCCAGUAGCAUCCUGGCAGACAUAGGAAGCCAGACGGGAGCAGGGCAGACUUGCUCUUUUAUAACAAUCAUUUGCAUAAACCCCACCCAAGGGCACACCUCCAGGGACCUAACCACCUUACACUAGGCUCCUCCUCUUAAAGGGGCCAUCUGUCCCAAGACCUAGGACACACCAGUCAGGAGCUCCAGCCCUUCUGUGUGGAGCCAGCAGAACCCACAUCUUUGAAAAUUCACUCGUGUUCCCCAAACACUUGGGAAUCCUGCCCUCAGACUUGCUGUGGUCCAGUCUCCUUCAUCUCCCCACAGUUGUAAGACCUAGAUCACUCUCUUCCCCUCUGGAGUUUCUCCUCCAGGAACCUAGUGAGAGUUUCAGAGUGAGCACUGCAGAAAAUCCCUAGCACUGUGAGAAAGGAGCCGUUCUGACCACAUGGGAGCUCUGUCUGCCUGGGCCAGUUAGUGCCACACUGAUCGUGGGAAGGGAGACACCAGCUCCAGACCUCCCAAAUACUGUUCCACUGGGGAAUGGGGCCUGAGACACACGUGGGGCAUCCAUCGUCCAGGGCUUGGGCUCACUGGAAGACUGAGACCCACCCACAGGACUGAGGAGAACUUCCUGCAUUCGGCAUAUCACUAAGCACAUCAUGUAGCACCUCAUGGCUGACAAGCAGGAAACAAGUACCAGGCAUACUAAAAGGCAAAAGCAGAGUUUGAAGAGACAGAGCAAGCACCAGAACCAGACUUACAGGGCACUAUGGCUCCCCAAGAUGUGGCACACUGGAGAUUUAAACAGUAUGAUGAGCCCUUGCUGCCAGGCCUCCUGGGUCUCCACAGGCAUAGGACAUUCACAUUUGUAGACACUGAGUUCCAAGGGAGGGGCCGCCUGGGGUGUGCAUAAGCAAGUCUGCCCUGUGAAAGCCUCCUCCACAGCCCAUGCAGAUGCCAGCUGCCUUCGUCAGGGAUGUGAGGCUGCACUUUCUGUUGGCAGGAAGCUGUGACUACUGUGCUGUUGGGAACCAUUAAACCAUUGUUAAUGGGUUCAUUCACUUUUUUAGGUUAAAAGUCAUGGCCAAAAAGAGGACUCUUUUUCUGAGUUGAUCUGGAGGGGAGAAUCAGAAACAAACAAGGAGUUGUAGGAACUUGGGUUUGGGUUCAAGAUAAGGACGGAGUUGGUAAAGGUGGGUGCCUCCCAGCAGUGACCCCCAGGGUCAGAGUGCCCCCGACACAGUGCUGAAGCAGAGGCUUGGCAUCCUUCACAUACCUCCCCACGGGAAGCAGCAGGUCUCACAGCCCGAGGCUGGCAAGUCCAAGGUGAAAGUGCUAGCUACUUCCAGCCCAUGGAUGGUGCACUGUUGCUGUUCUACAUGGCAGAGAAAGACAGAGUAGUAGAAGUGGGAGAUUAAUUUGCUUCAGGGAAUUGGCCCACACUGUUGGGAGGCCAGGCAAGUCUGAUGUCUAUAGGGCAGGCUGGAGGCUGGAAACUCAGGCCAGAGCUGCUGCUGGUUUUUUCCUCUCCAGAAGGCUACUGUUCUGCUCUUAAGGCCUUCACCUGAUAAGAUGAGGCUCGCCACACUGUGGAAGGUCACCUGAUUUACUUAAAGCCAGCUGACUAACCACAGCUACUGAACAUCUCCGCAGAAAUGUUCAGAUGAGGGCUUGAUGCGGGAGUGGGACAGCAGCCUGGCCACAUGGACAUGCAGACUUGGGUAUGCCAGGGAGGUGAGCUUGUCAAGGUGGCAGAAAGCCAAAGCCACGACCACUAGCUUCCUAGGCUUCCUAGAGCUUCCUGGAGAGGACCCUGCUCAAGGCCCAUCACCCAACGUGGACAGGGUGACAUAGCAAUGACACCGAGCACUGGCCAGGCACCAGGAGCUGCUGGCCACCCCAUGAGUAUCAUUAACCCCUUCAGUCAGAAAGCUGGGUCAUCGCAUUUUGCAGAUGCAGAUGCGGUCACAACCAAGGACCCCACAGGGCAGUGACUCACUUGGGGUCACAAGGUAGGCACAGGAGCCAGGACUUAGCCAGGUGCUGUGCCUCUAGAGUCUGCUGCCUCUGCCGUGGCACACGACACUUUAGGAUGUCACUCUCUGACAGACUCGGGGCCGGGAGCGUCGGCAGACUCCAGAUCCUGCCCAUCCCACCCCAGGACGAGGGUGCCUCUCCUUAUCCAGAGCAGGACAUAAGCCCCACCUUAGCCCCCGGAAUAUUUUGGGAAUCCGUGUCUGCUGAACACUUUGGGGAAGCGUGAAAACAGUUUUUCAAAUGCCAGUUUUGGUUUUUUUUAAUCAAUUGUAGGUUUGCCCUUGGGGUAACAAACAUAAAAUCCCAAACUUUCAUCCCACUGGAGCAAAUAAAAAUUACCUUGUUUGGUUUUUUGUUGUUGUUUUUUCUUUUUUGAGACACGGUCUUGCCCAGGCUGGCCUCAGACUCAUGGUGAUCCUCCUGCUUCAGCUUCCGAGGGCUAGGAUUUGCAGGGAUGCACCACCACCCCCGGGUUUCCCCAUUAGGUUUCCAAUAAUUGUGCCGUGGCUUUGGAUUGGAAUCCAGAUGCCACCCAGGGAGACCUGAGACCUAGGACAGGGGUCAGAUGAACUGGGUGCAUCAAAAUGCCCAGGAAAGGUUCGGCCUUUGACCAGGCGCAGCGUGGGCAGCGGCACUGGCUGCUGUGCCUACGAGUGGCAUUGUACAGGCAGAGCCACCCAGUGCUCCGGCUGCCCGGGAACAAGGUGCCCCACAAGCUGGGGAGAGGAGUUCCACCCAGAGCACCUGGACGUCAGGACAGCGGUCCCCACAGGGCAAAGCCCUCAGCUCUGGCCUCAGGCUCUGCAGGUGUCAACUCACUGUGGCCGCCCCAGCAGCCCCUCCAGCUUCGGGUGUCCCGGGCUCCACCCUGCUCUUCUGGCUUCUCAGGCCCAGGCCCGGCCUGCUGGAGGGCGGCUCCGUGCAGCAGCCUGGCCGGAAACGAGAGUCUCCACCGAAUGCACCGCGCCACGGAAACCGCGGUGAAAUUGCUCCCUUCCUUCUAGGGCAGCCCCAGGAGGCCCAGGGACAAGAGGGCAUUGUGUUGGGGGGGACCCCUCCCCGGCACAAAGGGCGUCUUUCACGGCUGCUGACUGCACAGGCGGGUGGGAGCCCCAGGCCUCCUCAUUCCUGGGCUCCUGGCACUGUGCCCCAGGUCAGAGCUGCCGCCCUGGAAGGAGCCAGCUGCAGAGACCCCGGCCCUGGGGCUGGCAGAGCUGUCCUGCUGGCGCUGGUUGGCUGGGACACGGCUGUCACUGCGCUGAGCUGUCCGUCUGGGAAAGUCAUCUGCGUAGGGAAGGGACCGUGUGUGGAUGGCUGUGUUAUGGGGUGAAGGGCUCUGGAAAAGACACAUGGGAGGGGGAGCCCCAUACCCUGGGGGAGCCUGGAGCUCGGAGGACGGGUGGGCGGGCAAAGAACUCAUACCGAGCUUGCGGACGGGACCGUGAACAGGUUGGAUACAAAGCCCUCUCGGUCCUGCAAAAUCUCAGGCUCUACUCAGUCCGGGAGGCCCAGGCAGGCAGGGCUUGAGUGGCGAGUGUGCGUGUGUGUGCUCGUGAGUGUGUCAGGAUGUGAGUGUGUGUGUGUGUGUAUGUGUUGGGGAAGAUCUAAAAAUGUAAUUGCUUUCAGCAGAACACGGCCCACGGUGUAAUUAAAGCGAGGGGGCUGCCGGCUCCUAGAGUUUAAGUGAUUUCAUGUGCAUUUGGUGAUUAUGCCCCUCUCUUGGGAUAAAAGUGCGGCUUCUAUUUUCACAUACAAAAUGGUUCCCAGACCAGGAGGCAGGGACUCAUUCCCUGCCCGCCUGGGCAUGAGGCUGGCCGGGCGGGCCGAGGGGAAGCUGGGCCUCGGUGGGUGCUGGUGAGGGGCCGGGAGAGGAG